CUUGCUCCUUUGACGUUAGCGGCGGACGGGUGAGUAACACGUGGGUAACCUACCUAUAAGACUGGAAUAACUCCGGGAAACCGGGGCUAAUGCCGGAUAACAUGUUGAACCGCAUGGUUCAACAGUGAAAGACGGUCUUGCUGUCACUUAUAGAUGGACCCGCGCCGUAUUAGCUAGUUGGUAAGGUAACGGCUUACCAAGGCGACGAUACGUAGCCGACCUGAGAGGGUGAUCGGCCACACUGGAACUGAGACACGGUCCAGACUCCUACGGGAGGCAGCAGUAGGGAAUCUUCCGCAAUGGGCGAAAGCCUGACGGAGCAACGCCGCGUGAGUGAUGAAGGUCUUCGGAUCGUAAAGCUCUGUUGUUAGGGAAGAACAUAUGUGUAAGUAACUGUGCACAUCUUGACGGUACCUAACCAGAAAGCCACGGCUAACUACGUGCCAGCAGCCGCGGUAAUACGUAGGUGGCAAGCGUUAUCCGGAAUUAUUGGGC
rnacentral:rRNA from 1 species